rnacentral:rRNA from 1 species
CGGCGAGUGAAGCGGCAAAAGCUCAAAUUUGAAAUCUGGUACCUUCGGUGCCCGAGUUGUAAUUUGGAGAGGGCAACUUUGGGGCCGUUCCUUGUCUAUGUUCCUUGGAACAGGACGUCAUAGAGGGUGAGAAUCCCGUGUGGCGAGGAGUGCGGUUCUUUGUAAAGUGCCUUCGAAGAGUCGAGUUGUUUGGGAAUGCAGCUCUAAGUGGGUGGUAAAUUCCAUCUAAAGCUAAAUAUUGGCGAGAGACCGAUAGCGAACAAGUACAGUGAUGGAAAGAUGAAAAGAACUUUGAAAAGAGAGUGAAAAAGUACGUGAAAUUGUUGAAAGGGAAGGGCAUUUGAUCAGACAUGGUGUUUUGUGCCCUCUGCUCCUUGUGGGUAGGGGAAUCUCGCAUUUCACUGGGCCAGCAUCAGUUUUGGUGGCAGGAUAAAUCCAUAGGAAUGUAGCUUGCCUCGGUAAGUAUUAUAGCCUGUGGGAAUACUGCCAGCUGGGACUGAGGACUGCGACGUAAGUCAAGGAUGCUGGCAUAAUGGUUAUAUGCCGCCCGUCUUG